CCUACGGGGCGCAGCAGUGGGGAAUAUUGGGCAAUGGGCGCAAGCCUGACCCAGCAACGCCGCGUGAAGGAAGAAGGCUUUCGGGUUGUAAACUUCUUUUAUCAGGGACGAAGCAAGAGACGGUACCUGAUGAAUAAGCCACGGCUAACUACGUGCCAGCAGCCGCGGUAAUACGUAGGUGGCAAGCGUUAUCCGGAUUUACUUAGUGUAAAGGGCGUGUAGGCGGGAGUGC
rnacentral:rRNA from 1 species